rnacentral:rRNA from 1 species
CAGUAGCCACGGUAAUACAGAGGGUGCGAGCGUUAAUCGGAUUUUCUGGGCGUAAAGCGUGCGUAGGCGGCUUCUUAAGUCGGAUGUGAAAUCCCUGAGCUUAACUUAGGAAUUGCAUUCGAUACUGGGAAGCUAGAGUAUGGGAGAGGAUGGUAGAAUUCCAGGUGUAGCGGUGAAAUGCGUAGAGAUCUGGAGGAAUACCGAUGGCGAAGGCAGCCAUCUGGCCUAAUACUGACGCUGAGGUACGAAAGCAUGGGGAGCAAACAGGAUUAGAUACCCCUGUAGUCCCUGUCUCUUAUAC